rnacentral:misc_RNA from 1 species
GCACUCUCACACCUAACCUUUGGGUUAUGAUGUGGAAUUGGGAUGCGCCGAUUUUCACUAAUCGGCACUCCUAAAAUGUAGCUCUUGGCUGUUUCCUACUACAGCAGUUUGGCCUAAUAGUUUUGACUUUUGUCAAAUCUUUGGCUACAUUUGCUUCUGGAAAUCAGUCUUGAUAAUACAGAAAACUCAUUUCAAA